CACGCGGUAAACGAUGAUUACUGGCUGUUCGCGAUACACUGUGAGCGGCCCAGCGAAAGCGUUAAGUAAUCCACCUGGGGAGUACGUUCGCAAGAAUGAAACUCAAAGGAAUUGACGGGGGCCCGCACAAGCGGAGGAACAUGUGGUUUAAUUCGAUGAUACGCGAGGAACCUUACCCGGGCUUGAAAUGCAUCUGACCGGCAAAGAGAUUUGCUUUUUCCUCGGAACGGAUGCGUAGGUGC
rnacentral:rRNA from 2 species